ensembl:lncRNA LOC102548045 uncharacterized LOC102548045
GGGGCAGGCUAUGAGUUUUGGAAGUGUUGGAACUAGGAUCCCUGUCACAAAGGUAGUCGUCUUUGCUCAGAUUUACCCCAGUGGCUGGACGAAAGUGAUAUAUCAUGAAGGACAGUGGGAGAUGCCGUUACUGAGCCUCGGGCUGAGGGGUGCAGGGGGAGAGGGUCCCAGUCCCAGCUUCCCCUGCUCACUCAUGGCACUGGACCCAUGGAGUGACUGGAUUUCCCAUCUGCUCACCAGAAAAGUUCAUAUCCUC